ensembl:miRNA
CUGAGCGGUUCCUCUGACCAGAGGCAGCCCGGCUGCUAACAAUGAGGAGAUGGCGUGUUGUUUUCCCUCGUGGUUCUGCAGGGCUGCUUUUGCGAUCCGCGCUCAGCUCA